CUUGGAUCAUCUACAUCUCUCUCUCCCACAAGAUAAUUUAUACAGAUUACAGAAGUUCAUAGAGAAAUAGUGUCUGAUUACUUGACAAGCUCCCAAGAGAGCUGUUCCAGUAAAAUUUGUGCUUGUUUGGGACAGGCAUUGCAUUGUUCUUUAAACCUUGUACUUCAUGCGGCAAGUCGUGUGUUUGCGAAAGGCAAAGUUUUCACAUGAGUGUUGGAACACUUGUUGUGAGAUGUUUACUCAUGUUUUGGAGGUGUUUUCUUCAUCUUUUAUGUGCUGGACAUGGCCUGAAUUCCAGUUGUGUACUCGAGUAUGGUU
rnacentral:lncRNA from 1 species